rnacentral:rRNA from 1 species
UACGUAGGGUGCAAGCGUUGUCCGGAAUUAUUGGGCGUAAAGAGCUCGUAGGCGGUUUGUCGCGUCUGCUGUGAAAACUCGGGGCUUAACCUCGGGCUGCAGUGGGUACGGGCAGACUAGAGUGCGGUAGGGGAGACUGGAAUUCCUGGUGUAGCGGUGAAAUGCGCAGAUAUCAGGAGGAACACCGGUGGCGAAGGCGGGUCUCUGGGCCGUAACUGACGCUGAGGAGCGAAAGCGUGGGGAGCGAACAGG